GAUGAACGCUGGCGGCGUGCCUAAUACAUGCAAGUCGAACGAACGGACGAUAAGCUUGCUUCUCUGAUGUUAGCGGCGGAAGUGUGAGUAACACGUGCAUAACCCACCUAUAAGACUGGGAUAACUUCGGGAUACCGGAGCUAAUACCGGAUGAUAUUUUGAACCGCAUGGUUCAAAAGUGAAAGACGGUCUUGCUGUCGGUUGAAGAUGGAUCCGCUCUGCAUUAGCUAGUUGGUGGGGUAACGGCUUACCAAGGCUGCGAGGGAUAGCCGACCUGAGAGGGCGACCGGCCACAUUGGGACUGAGAGACGGGCCAAACUCGGACAGGAGGCAGCAGGGGGGAAGACUGGACAAAGGAAGGAAGUGUGAUGCAGCAAGGCCUCGUGAGGGAUGACGUCCUUUGGGUUGUAAACCGAUUUCAAUAGGGACGAAUCUUCUUUGUGACGGUAGCAGUAGAAGAAGCACCGGCUAACUACGUG
rnacentral:rRNA from 1 species